rnacentral:sRNA from 1 species
UAACUGCUUGCUAUCGAUUAGGCUCCAAC